AGGGGGCUAGCGUUGCUCGGAAUGACUGGGCGUAAAGGGCGCGUAGGCGGCUCAUCCAGUCAGGCGUGAAAUUCCUGGGCUCAACCUGGGGACUGCGCUUGAGACGUGUGGGCUUGAGUGGGGAAGAGGGUCGUGGAAUUCCCAGUGUAGAGGUGAAAUUCGUAGAUAUUGGGAAGAACACCGGUGGCGAAGGCGGCGACCUGGUCCUUGACUGACGCUGAGGCGCGAAAGCGUGGGGAGCAAACAGG
rnacentral:rRNA from 1 species